CACCUGAGACAUAUGGAGGUUCCCAGGCUAGGGGUUCCAACUGGAGCUGUAUGUAGCCACCGACCACUGCCACAGCCACUCCAGAACCGAGCCGUGUCUGUGACCCACACCACAGUUCAUGGGUUCAUUAACCACUGAGCCACGACAGGAACUCCAUCUUUUUUUUUUAAAUUCAUCCAGCCAUUCUAUGCCUUUUGAUUGGAAAACUUAACCCAUUUACAUUUAGAGUAAUUACUGGUCAGUAAAGGUUUACUACUGCCAUCUUUUAAAUAGCUUUCUGGCUAUGUUGCAGUUUCUUUGUGCUUUGUUUCUUUCUUUGUUUCUUCCUCUCUUGCUGCCUUCCAUUGUGAAUUAAUGAUUCUCCAUAGUGGUAUGCUUUGUUUCCCUUCUCUUUAUCUUUUGUGAAUCUACUGAAGAGUUUUGCUUUGUUGUUAUGAUAGUAACUGCCUUUACUACGCUGAUAACUUCAAUAGCAUAGAGAUACUCUAUCCUUUUAUUUCCCAUUUUAUUUUUUUAAUGUUAAUAUACUUUUUUCUACUGCAUAUUAACAAAUUACAGCAGCUAUAGUUUAAUACUCUUUGCCCUUUAACCUUUACAUUAAAGUUAAGUGGUUAACCCAUAUUAGAGUAUUCUGAAUUUGACUAUACACUUAACCUUUAUCAGCAUGUUGUACAUGUUCAUGUUUUUAUGUUACUAGAGCCUCCUUUUAUUUCAGCUUGAAGAACUUCAACAGUUCUUGUAAGGUAGGUUGAGUGAAGAUAAAUUUCAUCAGCUUAUGUCUGUCUCUUUCAUUUCUGAGGAUAAUUCUUAGUUAGCAGUUUCUUUCAGCACUUUGAAGAUAUCAUCCCACUCUCUCCUGGCCUGUAAGGUUUCUGCUGAGUAAUCCACUGAUAGACUUAGGGGUGUUCCCUUGCAAGUUAUAAUCUUCUUUGAUCUUGAUGCUUUUAAGAUUCUUUUUUCUGAUUUUUGACAAUCUCUUAAUUCCCUGUCUUGGAGAUGAUCUCUUUAGUUUGAUUUUGUUUGGUAUGUAUGUGCUUCAUGAACUUGUAUAUCCAAAUCCCUCCCCUGAUUUGGUAAGUUUUCAGCCAUUAUAUCUCUACUUUUUCUGCCCCCUUCUCCCUCUCUUCUUCUAGAAGUCUAAUCAUGCCAAUUAGUUCAUGGAUCAUGUGGGCUUUCUUGACUCUUUUUCAUUCUUUUUUCUAUUUAGUCCUCUGACUGGAUAGUUUCAAAGUUCCUAUCUUCUAGAUCACGGAUUCUUUCCUCUGCUGGAGUCAUUCUGUUUAUGCUAUUGCCUUUUUAAAACUUAAUUCGUUGUAUUCUUUAACUCUAGAAUUUGUUUGGGUUUUUUUUCCCAUUUAAAGUAUAUGAUUUAAUAACUUUUAGAAGUCACAGAGUUGUGCAACCAUCACAUUUCUAAAAUACUUUAAUCACCACCAAAAGAAAUCCUGUACCCACUGACAGUUCCACCCUAUCCUCCCCACAACCAGCCCUAGGCAACCACCAAUCUACUUUCUAUUUUUUAUCUCUACAGAUUUGCCUAUUCAGGAUGUUUUAUAUAACUGGGAUCAUACAACAUGUGGUUGUGACCAGCUUCUUUCACUUAGCAUAAUUUUUUCAAAGCUCAUCCAUGUUAUAGCACACAUCAGUACUUCAUUCCAUUUUAUUGUUGAAUAAUAGGCUUUGGU
rnacentral:lncRNA from 1 species